UUUUAUGGAGAGUUUGAUCCUGGCUCAGGAUGAACGCUGGCGGCGUGCCUAAUACAUGCAAGUCGAGCGAACGGACGAGAAGCUUGCUUCUCUGAUGUUAGCGGCGGACGGGUGAGUAACACGUGGAUAACCUACCUAUAAGACUGGGAUAACUUCGGGAAACCGGAGCUAAUACCGGAUAAUAUUUUGAACCGCAUGGUUCAAAAGUGAAAGACGGUCUUGCUGUCACUUAUAGAUGGAUCCGCGCUGCAUUAGCUAGUUGGUAAGGUAACGGCUUACCAAGGCAACGAUGCAUAGCCGACCUGAGAGGGUGAUCGGCCACACUGGAACUGAGACACGGUCCAGACUCCUACGGGAGGCAGC
rnacentral:rRNA from 1 species